AUUGAACGCUGGCGGAAUGCUUUACACAUGCAAGUCGAACGGCAGCACGGACUUCGGUCUGGUGGCGAGUGGCGAACGGGUGAGUAAUGUAUCGGAACGUGCCCAGUCGUGGGGGAUAACGUAGUGAAAAUUACGCUAAUACCGCAUACGAUCUAUGGAUGAAAGCGGGGGAUCGCAAGACCUCGCGCGAUUGGAGCGGCCGAUAUCAGAUUAGGUAGUUGGUGGGGUAAAGGCCCACCAAGCCAACGAUCUGUAGCUGGUCUGAGAGGACGACCAGCCACACUUGAACGGAGACACGGUCCAGACUCAGACGGGGGGCAGCAGUGGGGAAUUUUGGACAAUGGGCGAAAGCCUGAUCCAGCCAUUCCGCGUGCAGGAUGAAGGCCCUCGGGUUGUAAACUGCUUUUGUACAGAACGAAAAGGUUUCUACUAAUACUAGGAGCUCAUGACGGUACUGUAAGAAUAAGCACCGGCUAACUACGUGCCAGCCGCCGCCGUAA
rnacentral:rRNA from 1 species